rnacentral:tRNA from 1 species
GGUGCCGUUCAGUGGUAGAACAUGUGCUUGGCAUGUGCAAGGCCCUGGGUUCAAUCCUCAGCACCA